AUUCAAUAAAAAUGAAUUGAAUUGAAGAAAAUGAAAUGAAGCUAGGGUUUGAAUUUGAGCUUACUUGAAAUGAAUCUGACUAAGUCAGUGACAGUUAUUCAGUGAAGAAUCAAAGCGACACCGAUUGAAGUGGCGAUGAAUUCGUUGAUACGAUCAGAAUCUACAACGAAAAAUUUUCGGAGCUUCGAUUUUCUUACAACACAAAGAAAAUUUUCAUCAUAGAAGAAAAUUUUCUUCUUCUUUUACUACAAAGAAAUUUUUUUGAUUGAAUCUAAGACACUGGUGUUUUUUUUUUUUUUAGACAAGGU
rnacentral:lncRNA from 1 species